UACGUAGGGUGCGAGCGUUGUCCGGAAUUAUUGGUCGUAAAGAGCUUGUAGGCGGUUUGUCGCGUCUGCUGUGAAAAUCCGGGGCUCAACCCCGGACUUGCAGUGGGUACGGGCAGACUAGAGUGUGGUAGGGGAGACUGGAAUUCCUGGUGUAGCGGUGAAAUGCGCAGAUAUCAGGAGGAACACCGAUGGCGAAGGCAGGUCUCUGGGCCACUACUGACGCUGAGAAGCGAAAGCAUGGGGAGCGAACAGG
rnacentral:rRNA from 1 species